AGGUCCCUGAGAGCUGUGACUUCGCUAAGGGUUAACAUAAUGUGUGUUGUCUCUUCGUGUGCAGCUAGCAGACCCAAGCAUUUGCUGGUGUACAUAAACCCUUAUGGGGGCAAGCAGCAAGUGCAUUUAUGAGCAGAAAGUCGCACCUCUCUUCGCCUGUGCCUCCAUCUCCAGGGACGUGAUUGAUUACUCCAUCUUCUCUGUGGGCCAACAGGGGGUUGCACAGCCCCCUCCAGCCCAGCAGAAUAAGACAACCUCCCCUCGCAAAGAUGUCUCUAUAUUUGCAGCUGGGAAAAAUCGUUUUGCUAAAGCCUUGAAACCCCUUGUGUGCAAAAAAAAAAAUGAAGGCAGAAUGCAUUCUUCAAGCAAUAUAAAAUAAUAAAAUAAUUUUAGCAUCAAG